GUGGGGAAUAUUGCACAAUGGGCGCAAGCCUGAUGCAGCGACGCCGCGUGAGGGAUGACGGCCUUCGGGUUGUAAACCUCUUUCAGUAGGGAAGAAGCGAAAGUGACGGUACCUGCAGAAGAAGCGCCGGCUAACUACGUGCCAGCAGCCGCGGUAAUACGUAGGGCGCAAGCGUUAUCCGGAAUUAUUGGGCGUAAAGAGCUCGUAGGCGGUUUGUCGCGUCUGCCGUGAAAGUCCGGGGCUCAACUCCGGAUCUGCGGUGGGUACGGGCAGACUAGAGUGAUGUAGGGGAGACUGGAAUUCCUGGUGUAGCGGUGAAAUGCGCAGAUAUCAGGAGGAACACCGAUGGCGAAGGCAGGUCUCUGGGCAUUAACUGACGCUGAGGAGCGAAAGCAUGGGGAGCGAACAGG
rnacentral:rRNA from 1 species